AAACUGCCGAAAGUAAAUACAGCUGAUGAUAACAAGCAAGCGAAAGAAUGGCUGAGUGCUAUGCAGAAAUGCUGUUUAUACAUACCGAAAUACGAUCAGUGCCAUUGAAUAGUUGAAAGUAUAUGUUCUUGGUUGAAGGUGUUUCUGGCAUGGAAUCUUUGAAACUAAGCUUGCAAUGCCAAAUGACUACUAUUGAACGUUAUUAAAUCUGAAGCUUUAUAUCUGUGUAAAAUUAUAUAAAUAAACAAAAAACACAUCGAUGAUUUUCGUUGGCAUAAAAAAAUAUCUCGCUAUUACCACUUUCUUUAGUUAUUCCUAAAAUUAGCCUUUUCUGGAUUUUACUAAAAUCCGUACUUACCUCCCUUGUUCCAUUUAACUGCAUAGCGAACCACUCAGUUUUAU
rnacentral:misc_RNA from 1 species